rnacentral:rRNA from 1 species
GACGAACGCUGGCGGCGUGCUUAACACAUGCAGUCGAACCGAAAGGCCCCUUUGGGGGUACUCGGGUGGCGAACCGGUGAAGUAAACGUGAGUAACCUGGCCCUUACUUCGGGAUAAAUUCAGGAAACUUGGGCUAAUAACCGAUAGGAAAUCUUUGUUCAUUGUUGGGGGUGGGAAGCUUCGGCGGGUUUGGAUGGACUUGCGGCUUAUCAGCCUGUUUGUUGGGGGGUGGCUUACCAAGGGCUUGACGGGUUGCCGGCCUGAGAGGGCGACCGGGCACAUUGGGACUGAGAUACGGCCCAGACUCCUACGGGAGGCAGCAGUGGGGAAUAUUGCACAAUGGGCGGAAGCCUGAUGCAGCAACGCCGCGUGCGGGAUGACGGCCUUCGGGUUGUAAACCGCUUUCAGCAGGGGCGAAGCUUGUGGUGACGGUACCUGCAGAAGAAGCACCGGCUAACUACGUG